rfam:Physcomitrella patens subsp. patens PHYPAscaffold_200 genomic scaffold, whole genome shotgun sequence.
GCAUUUUUCUCUUUGGAUUCAUUGGAUGACACAGGAACUACACAGAGGAUUAGUAUUGCUCCUGCGCAAGAAUGACAUGCACUUGUAGAGAUGCGGUCAAGUUUUUA